rnacentral:rRNA from 1 species
ACCUACGGGUGGCUGCAGUGGGGAAUAUUGGACAAUGGGCGCAAGCCUGAUCCAGCAAUGCCGCGUGGGUGAAGAAGGUCUUCGGAUCGUAAAGCCCUUUCGGCGGGGACGAUGAUGACGGUACCCGCAGAAGAAGCCCCGGCUAACUUCGUGCCAGCAGCCGCGGUAAUACGAAGGGGGCUAGCGUUACUCGGAAUUACUGGGCGUAAAGGGCGCGUAGGCGGCGCUCCAAGUUAGGCGUGAAAGCCCUGGGCUCAACCGGGGGACUGCGCUUAAGACUGGAGUGCUAGAGGAUGGAAGAGGGUUGUGGAAUUCCCAGUGUAGAGGUGAAAUUCGUAGAUAUUGGGAAGAACACCGGUGGCGAAGGCGGCAACCUGGUCCAUUUCUGACGCUGAGGCGCGAUAGCGUGGGGAGCAAACAGGAUUAGAUACCCUUGUAGUC